GCGCUCGUGGUGGAAUUGGCAGACACGCAGGAUUUAGGAUCCUGUGCCUUCGGGCGUGCGGGUUCAAGUCCCGCCGAGCGCA
rnacentral:tRNA from 1 species